rnacentral:rRNA from 1 species
UAUGGAAAAAGCAAACGUUAUUCGGAAACAUCGGGCGUAAAGCGCACGAAGGCGGCCAGGUAAGUCGGAUGUGAAAGCCCUCGGCUCAACUGAGGAAGUGCAUUCGAAACAGCUGGACUUGAGUACGGGAGAGAGAUGCGAAAUUCCCGGUGUAGAAGUUAAACUCGUAGAUAUCGGGAGGAACACCAGUGGCGAAGGCGGCAUCCUGGACCGAUGCUGACGCUGAGGUGCGAAAGCGUGGGGAGGAAACAGG